GAUGAACGCUGGCGGCGUGCCUAAUACAUGCCAGUCGAGCGAACAGACGAGGAGCUUGCUCCUCUGACGUUAGCGGCGGACGGGUGAGUAACACGUGGAUAACCUACCUAUAAGACUGGGAUAACUUCGGGAAACCGGAGCUAAUACCGGAUAAUAUAUUGAACCGCAUGGUUCAAUAGUGAAAGACGGUUUUGCUGUCACUUAUAGAUGGAUCCGCACCGCAUUAGCUAGUUGGUAAGGUAACGGCUUACCAAGGCAACGAUGCGUAGCCGACCUGAGAGGGUGACCGGCCACACGGGAACUGAGACACGGUCCAGACUCCUACGGGAGGCAGCAGUAGGGAAUCUUCCGCAAUGGGCGAAAGCCUGACGGAGCAACGCCGCGUGAGUGAUGAAGGUCUUCGGAUCGUAAAACGCUGUUAUUAGGGAAGAACAAAUGUGUAAGUAACUAUGCACGUCUUGACGGUACCUAAUCAGAAAGCCACGGCUAACUACGUG
rnacentral:rRNA from 1 species